ensembl:lncRNA
GGUCGAUUGAGGAGUACUGGGAAGGACAAACUACUGACUCCUUGCCUGACGCAACACAGCAUCAGACCCCUCCAAGGGGACGACACCCCAGAAGCAGCCAGACAAUGCUGGAUGGAGCAAUGGGUCCCAACUGUGAAACAUCACCCAACACAACUCAGGCAAGCUCAAGUUGGUGCCAGCCACAAGAGCAAAGCAACACUGCAAACAUCAGACUUCUGGUGAUGUUCUAGCAGAACAGAGAGCUAACAACCACCUGCUGCCCUCCUGCCACCAUCACAAGGUACCAUGGAUAGCCUACUGGCUAACAACACCUACAAAUAACCAUCUGACUCAGACCAACUCACUUCAGGAUGACAGGAGACACUGCUUCAACACCUGCUGCACAAGCUUGAGGGCCCACACCUUGCUACAGCUUACAUCACCACAGCUCACCACUUGACAGCAUCCACCACGGCACCACAAACACUCCUGGAGGCAACCAGCAGCCCGAGAGCCACCACUGUCUCCCAGCCAUGAGCGGCAGGUACGUGUCUGAUUUCCUUCACCUCUGACGUCGCUCGCUAUUGUAUAUUGGAUGUACAACAAAGUUCGAAAGGGGGGAAUUAUGUAACAUUUGGUCCAAUCAGACACACAAUUGUUCAUUAGAUUUAACAAAUCAAUUAUUCAUUAGAUUAACAUAUAAUCACAGAUCCCUCACCCAAUAAACAUACUGGGUGCCAGGAUGUCAGCGAAUGACCCCAGGCCCCAAGUUUCCAUGGCAACCACGAGCUACAAGAACAUCUUUAGGCAUUGAUCAACAUUAUCUUGAUGAUAAACAAUAGUUAUUUUUGUAUUUGUUUCAGGAGGUUCAAUUUGAAUCACUCUGUGACAUAUUCUGAUGUAACUGAUGAUGCCCUUGAUGACAUGAUCAAAGAUAUUGAGGCUGGGAAUGAUCAGCUUGGAUCUGAGGCUGUCAGGGCACAGUUACGGCCAGCUGGAGUACGGGUGCAGAGAGACAGAGUGAGAAAGAGUUUAAUUCGAACCAACCCCUGGGCAGCUGCACAAAGAAGACCACAGAGAUGCAGAAUUGUCAUUCAUGGUGGUAUAGAUGGCUACAGUCGUCUCAAAGUCUUUCUCCGUGCCUCAAACAACAUCUGCAGCAGCACUGUAAUGAAUUGCUUUUUGAAUGCUGUGGCCAGGUAUGGAGUGCCUUCUAAGGUCAGAACAGAUCAUGGUGGAGAAAACUGAUGUCUGUGUGAUGAUGAACAUUUUCAGGGGCUCAGAGAGAGGCAGUGCUAUCAGAGGCAGGAGCACUCAUAACUAGCAUAUUGAGAGGCUCUGGGGUGACAUGUGGCAGGGAUUGUCUAAUGUUUAUUAUAAUCCCGUCCACUUCCUGGAGAGUGAAGUGAUAGUGGACAUAGACAAUGAAAUGCAUCUCUGGGCUCUACAUUACGUCUACUUGCCAAGGAUCAGCAGGGACUUGACUGCCUUCAUCCGACAAUGGAACAACCAUGGGCUGAGAACUGUGAGACAUCAGAUCCCAAUGCAGACUUUUGUCCGAGGCUGCCUGGAACAACAAGGACAAAGAUCCACAGCAAUGCAAGAAAUCUUUGGCAGAAGAGCUGGGCCAGCAGAUUAAACUGUUGUUCAAGGACCAUUUGAACAAGGAGAAACAACAUCAAGAAUGCAGGGGGCAGCAAUGCUUGACUGGCCAGACAGAGUACAAGUACGACAGAAUCACUACACUUUGGACAAUGCAACCUUGGAACAUCUUGUUGCACAGUUUAAUCCACUUGGUGGGGCACAAGCAGAAUUUGGAUUAGACAUCCUUUGCAAUGUUUUAUCUUUAAAUCAAUCAUAGGAAAGGACAAGUUAAUCCCAAAAAAGAUCUUAUGGAUGCAUGUUAUGGUUGACUUUCAUUAAAUGGACAAAACAUAGAGCUAACCUUUCAAGUUUGUUUAGAGCAGUGGUUGCCAACCCGGCGAUCGCAAUCGACUUUAUCUUUAUCACUCUCCCAGUAGCUCAAGAAAAUAACAGAAAAAUUUGUACAAUAAAGACAUCGUGAUUAAUGUUAAGCUUUGCA